rnacentral:piRNA from 1 species
UGAUGUCUACAAGGCUCUUCUUUCAUCUG